AUUGAACGCUGGCGGCAGGCCUAACACAUGCAAGUCGAACGAGUGGCGGACGGGUGAGUAAUGUCUGGAAAACUGCCUGAUGGAGGGGGAUAACUACUGGAAACGGUAGCUAAUACCGCAUACCAUCAGAUGUGCCCAGAUGGGGUUAGCUUGGUGGUGGGGUAACGGCUCACCAAGGCGACGAUCCCUAGCUGGUCUGAGAGGAUGACCAGCCACACUGGAACUGAGACACGGUCCGGAUUCCUACGGGAGGCAGCAGUGGGGAAUAUUGCACAAGGGGCGCAGUCCUGAUGCAGCCAUGCCGCGUGUAUGAAGAAGGCCUUCGGGUUGUAAAGUACUUUCAGCGGGGAGGCGUUACCCGCAGAAGAAGCACCGGCUAACUCCGUGCCAGCAGCCGCGGUAAUUC
rnacentral:rRNA from 1 species